GAAUCGUCACAAAAAUGUCACAUAUAAGUAAAAAGUUAAAAUUUACAAGUGUCAUGAUCAAAGUAAUAAAUAUUAGAUUUUUCCUUUAAAUUCUGUAAAUUUUACGACGUAUUAUUCCGUACAAAAAGUAUAAGAACCACAAAUUCCGCGUGCACCUUUCGAAGGGAUACAAGUCCGCGUUCACUGUAUGCUUCAGUCCGUGUAAACUGGUCUCUUUGCAGAAUUGCGCGUAAACGGAGUAUACAUGGGCCAUGGAAGCUCUGGUCGAGUCUAUCACGGACUUUGUCCGAGUGAGGCAGCUCAACAUAGCGAUAGCAGCAGUGCUGACCAUGGGGUAUCUGUUAUACCAAUACUGGGAUAUCCUGUUCACGAGCCAGGUAGAGAAGAAUGAGAUACCCCGGAAACGUUCCACCAGCAGGCUGUCGCGUUCACGAUCCAGGUAUCUUGUUUAUGUCACGGGUAGCAUGCUGUUUACGAGCCAGGUAGAGAAGAAUGAGAUACCCCGGAAACGUUCCACCAGCAGGCUGUCGCGUUCACGAUCCAGGUAUCUUGUUUAUGUCACGGGUAGAUGCUGUUUACGAGCCAGGUAGAGAAGAAUGAGAUACCCCGGAAACGUUCCACCAGCAGGCUGUCGCGUUCACGAUCCAGGUAACUAUCUUGUUUAUGUCACGGUAGCGUUCUGUUUACGAGCCAGGUAGAGAAGAAUGAGAUACCUCGGAAAUGUUCCACCAGCAGGCUGUCGCGUUCACGAUCCAGGUAACUAUCUUGUUUAUGUCACGGUAGCGUUCUGUUUACGAGCUAGGUAGAGAAGAAUGAGAUACCCCGGAAAUGUUCCACCAACAGGCUGUCGCGUUCACGAUCCAAGUAUCUUGUUUAUGUCACGGUAGCGUUCUGUUUACGAGCCAGGUAGAGAAGAAUGAGAUACCCCGGAAAUGUUCCACCAACAGGCUGUCGCGUUCACGAUCCAAGUAUCUUGUUUAUGUCACGGUAGCGUUCUGUUUACGAGCCAGGUAGAGAAGAAUGAGAUACCCCGGAAACGUUCCACCAGCAGGCUGUCGCGUUCACGAUCCAG